AAUGAGCUAAGGCCAGUUGAGUGCUUGCGUGGCUGUGAAGCACCAGUGCUGCAAAGAUGGGAAAAGACAAAGUGAUGUGACUUCUGGGGAAGGCACCUUAAAAUAGAAAGAAAAAGAAAGGUGGGAUUGUUGGGUUAUGCCAAGCCCAGGAAGGAUGAAGGAAAAAUUGCUCCCUAGUUAAAGCCAUUUCUACUGAAAAUUCUCUGCAUGGAGAAAGGGCUUGAGAAAGUGGACUCAUCCCAAGAAGGAUUUGAAGAGGCCAAGUAUUCAAAGCAGCAGCAUGCAAACUCCAGGAGGGCCUUCAGAGGUGUAAGUGGUAGGUGGUUGGAAGUGAAAAAUAGAUGUGACUUUAGGAAAGGAUCAUGAUAGAACUGGAAGAAUUCCAUUGAAGAACUCAGACGGAGACAGUGUAAAUCACGUGAACCUGAAGCGAACCAAAAAUCAUGAGAAGAUGCUUGUUUAAUACACAAGGAACUCUAAAAACAAUGAGGAAAAAGCAACAGUCUUACUAACAUAUGUGUCUUAAUUUACUCAUAUCUGUGCAGACUUCAUUCUGCUUUUAAUAAUAAUGCAUCACAGGCCUUUUAUAGUCUGUUUCAAACUCCUGUCUAACAUGAUGAAAAUCUUAAAUAUGAUCCUUUUAAGGAUGGAAGAUGUAUCACAUAGAAUGGAGGAGGACUGCGGUACAAAAAUGAAUGGCCACCUAGCACAUCUGCAGCAGCAGUCAUCAGCAGAUGUUUAGGGGAGAAUAGAAAACUGAGGAUGUGUGACAUGAUUAAUUUCCUUGUUUAGCCUCUUGUUUUGAGUAUUCAGCUUUUCAGUGACUUCCUGAACUGGAAGUUCAAUAUGGUCGGUCAUGUCCUACUGAUACAGCUUUCUGGCAUGAGUUUGUUCAGUGUCUUUUGAACCUGUUUGAGUACUAUUCUCAUCACUGACCCAUGGCAGUUAUUAUACGAUGCCUAAUAAAACACAGAGCUUUUUUCCCCCCAAAAUGCUAAUGACUUUUUUGCACCCUGUUGUUUGUUUAACAGUUAGUGACUAAUGUUUAUCUGGUCUCUCUGCUUCCAUUUAGUAAUUUAGAACUUCUCCCAUGUCUCACCUCAAUUAUGUAUUUUCCGUGUGAAGGGCUCCUGGUCCAUGCUGCUCGUGAGGUGGAACAGCACACACUUUUGAUCAUCAUUGCUGCUCUCUGAGCAUACUCUGUUUCUUCUAUAUGCUCAGAUUGGUGGGGGUCAGACUCACAUGCUGUAGUCAAGCUUUCAGUAAUACUUUUUAAGCCCUUGGUGUACCUGGGGAUGCUAGUAGUGGUCUGAUGGUUAAGAUGGCAGAACCUGGAGGAGGUAUUACAACUGCUUAGAUAGUAUGUCUAGAAAUCUGGAGGCGGCACUCAACAGUUUCUCAGGUUGGAAACAAAAUCAAGGGAAGGGAAGAAUUUCUCAGAGACUCUAGACCUCCAUGAUCUGAAUCACAGAAUCACAGAAUGGACCCUUUGGUUCAUCUGGUCCAAUCCCUGCUCCAGCAGGACCACCCAGACCAGGCUGCCCAAGCCCACAUCCAAGUGGCUUUUGAAGAUUUUCACAGCCUCUCUGGGCCACCUGUGUCAGUGCUCAGUCAUCUACACCGUAAAUUUUGACAAAGUCCAAAUAACAUAAAAGGGAGCCAUGCAAGGAUUUGUCUCUCUGGGGGUCCUACGUGGAGCAGAAUGAAGAUGAAAGUUGUGUCUUUUUCAGAUCUGUACAUGUGGUUCUGGAAUACACACAGUGUUUGAUGUGGAUGGGGUUGAAGGUCUCAGCUCCUGUUCCUCAUUUCUCUAAAUCUGUGCCUAAGGGUAGCUGCUAAAGAAAGAGUCAGAUCACAAUCUAAAUCUCUUGUGUCUUUUCAUUAUUUUUUUUCCAUUCCAUCUAGAGAUGUGAAGUGUAUUAAUUUUGAUUGAAACCCCAAUAAGACAUAGAAAAAGAAAAAAGCAUCUUGAUAUCUUCCUGGCACUAUAUGCCAGCACUAAACAGCUUGCUACAUGGUGUCAUGAUAUGGAAUACUGAUAAAUCCAGGAGACUUCCUUUAUCUCUAAUCCCAAGUUAUGUUCCCAGGAAUGAACAGAUAAAAUUAACAUCUUUUGAACUCAGAGAUAUUGAUGGUUUCUUCAAGAAAGUAAGUGUCCAUGUGAGAUGAAGAUGGAAAUCACCUAAUGAAAACAGUAAUACACAUAAUUGAUAUUUCCAAAUUCAACCUUCUGGUGACUGUGAAAAGGAUUGUAAGAGAUAAACUAUAAAUAAAAUAUGAAGAUAAAACUUUUCAAAUUGGAUGUUUUAGAAGAAUGCUUAUGGUUUUACCUAUUUAUUUAUUUUUACUGUUUGGAAUUUAGCAAUUGGUAUAAAUAAAAGAAAGUAGAGAAUUCAAAUAAUGGGAAGCCCACUUCUGCCAUACCAUUUUAUGACUGAUCCAGUGCCUAUCCCUGUUUUUAUUCCAUUCUCUAAAUUCUAAGCCAAGCCACUGACCAGAUGCAGUGCAGAAAAAAUAUCUUGAAAUAAAUAGGUUUAUGUAUUUAUACACAUUCUGCUUUGCUCAUAAUGAAACUCAUUGAGAAAACACAUGUCAAAUAAUUCUCAGAAAUAAGAAUUAAAACAAAAAGGAAUCUAAUGUUACAACAGUGGUCAAAGAACAGUGUUAAGAUGUAAGCUGAAUUUUGUUCAAAGGUUUGCUAAGCCGUAGAAGAGCUGUGCAAGAGCAAAACACAAAGACCUGUGAUGGCAUCUGAAUGUGCUUCAAAUAAGCAAAUGUUUACGUAGUCUACCAAGGCUAGUAUCAUUUUUUUACCACAUUGAUGUAUUAGUGUGUUCCACUGUCUUUUCUUCCUCACCUCCUAAUGAUAACCAUGUCUUAAUGAGUUUAUCUGCCCUCAGUGGUUAUAAUGACAUAUAAUACUUUCUCCGUUUUGACCAGUUUUAAUUUCAUGUUUUAAUUGAGCAUACAGUCACUCUGAUGAAAGACACAGACAUAUUACAAACUGAUGAGUAGCAGACCUGGUAUUUGUGGAAUUUAUUUCAGUGUAAGUUAGUUAUCUGAGUCACAUCCACUUGGACAGACUAGUUCUCAAAUUCUUUUUGAAAACAUUUAUUUCAAUAUUCCAUUAAAAAAAAAAAAAAAAAAAAAAGAAAAAGAGAGAGAGAGAGAGAGAGAAGUAAGAGCUCUGGAAACAAAGCUUCGUUCAUUACUAUCCAGAAUUUUGUCAGCACUGUACCCAUCCUAGUCAGCUGCUAUUCACUGUUUAUCAUUUCAGUCCAAUAGAAAAUGCUGAGCAGAAGAUUUACCACAGUAUAACUGAAACAUAAAGUUCUGGCUACAUAUAAAUAAACGAAGGCAAAUUCUACUGUCAUGAUAUGUACAAUAUCCAAAUAGUAACAGUGAACAUAGAGAUACAGUGUAAUAAAAGAAUUAUGGCUUAGGGGCUGUUGCUGAUGUCCUGACUCCUGAUGCAGCAACGUAACCUUACUGAAUUCAGCAGUAAUUGCUUGAAAAAUAUUACUGGACAGAAACUGAGUCAACAUUAAUGAAAAUGAAUAAUAUCCCUCAAAUUUUAGGUUAUGCAGCUAUGUGUGAUGAAAGAUAAUCUGGACAUAGAGAUGAAGAAAUACAUUAGGACACUAAGACCAUGCAAGUAAUUCAUAAGGGGAAUUUUUUGCCUAAUGAAAUGAUGUACCAUUUACUGAAUGGCUUCUUGAGGUUUCAUUACGUCCUGUGUCCUGUUGCUUCUUGGUGAUAGCCAGAAAUGACUCUGCUGAACUCAACAGGAUGAUCUCUCUACAUGAAUGCAUCCUUAGAGUAAAGCAGAUGGAGUAUUUAUUUCCGAAUGACAGCAGUGUUACUAUGAAAAUGUUCUACAGUCUCUAAAUUCUACUGACAUACUAAAUGACAAAUGCGGGAUAUAUGUUUUGUGAUUAAAUUUUCCAGUUUCUGGUGUAGUGCUUUUAAUAUGGAAAGCAAAUUCACAUGUUUUCAGCUUUGAGAACAGAGUCCAGUAUUGCAGUUUGGCACUGCAGUAAGCUAAGUAAGGGAAAAAGUUAUUGUUUUCCUGAACAUGGAAAAUAUAAGAGGCAGUACAAAUACUGAAACAAGUAAGGCAAUAUUUUAUACACAACUAAGAAUUUGGUAAGAGUGAAGACAAAAGAUGGUUUUGGACAACAAAAGUUUAGAUCAAAUCCAAACUCCUUUAGCAUUUAGCUGUUUCAGGACCAUCCUCUUGAUACUUUUUAAACAAGCAAGCAAACAAAAAAAUCUCAAAAUAUCUCUAUACAAAGAAAACACAGUGAAAAACAGUCUUGAACCUAAAUUAAAUAAUAGCAGUGGUUAGAGGUCUACUGGCGAGAAAUUAGAAGGGUCCUAGGGCUUUAUUCCCAUAGAGUCCUAAGCUUUUCAGUUUACUUUAAUAAAAACUUAAAUCACUCUCCAAUGAUUUCUCUUAAGGAAAAGCAUGAGUUAAAAGAGAAUGGGAAAGUAUAAACAAGUUGAAUGUCACAGACUGGUAAAUAAAAAGUUAUGGUCUGAAGGAAUGGCUGUGAUUUCAAAGAGAUAUGGAUUCAUGCAGGAUGUGAGUAACUCCUUUAGACUUCCCACUAUCUAUAAGUGGGCUCCCACUGACGUUAUUGGUAUCCUCUGUCAAGAGAAUAGGACCCAUAUUUUUAGAUUUGUGUAUACCAGCUAUUUGCUGGAGUUGUUAUCACACUCGUAUUUUUAGCGGUUCACUAUAUUAAGGAGAGGAGCUUUUGCAUUGUGUUGUGUCAUUUGCAGUGUGCAAACUUCCUGGAGCUUUUCUGCUCCUUUGAUCCCACCAGCCACAGUAGCAGAAGAGCUGACUCAUCAGCCACGACUAUUUCUUCCAUAACAGGAGCUCCCCAGGUAGGCGGAAAUUUGCCAAACACAGGAAGGUAACAGCCAUAUCCACUCUGAGCCCUGGACUAACUCAAAGUCCACUGCAAACAGGAAGAAUCUCAGCAAUAUCAGAGUUGAUUGCAGGUAUUUCAUGGAUUUGUCUUCUGACAUUCUGUAGCAAUGUUAUGUCACUGUAUCCUAAGUAUACUUUGUGCACUUUUCAUCUGUAGUAAUACCAAAGUACAGUAAUGAUCAGUUUCUUGCUGGGUACAUUUAUCUUUACUUAUUGUACAGAUAGUGGUGUUAUUUUGUGAUUUGUGUUGUUAGUUAUACACGCUAGCUCACAGAAAAUCAAAAUAAAAUUAUACAAUUCCUCCUGACCCAGAAAUGCUAUUUCCCCACUCCUCCCUUCCAUACAUGCAAUCUUUCUUGACAUCUAUUUAAAAUAAAAUGUAUUGGCUUUUUCCAUAAAGCCAGUAUGUUAUGUGAAUUUGCUAGAAAGAUGACACAAUAUUACAUUAAAUUUUUGAAAACAUGGAAGUAACUAAAUUCUUAUGCACAGUAUAUUGAGAAGAGAUAUGACAGUUUAAGAAUGAGAAGAUUUAUGUGAGCUUAACUUUAUGCAUUGUAACAAAAUGGAACAGACUGACCAGGAAGUGGUGCAGUCACUGUCUCUGGAAGUGUCUGAGGAAAGGGUAGGUGUAGUACCUAGGGACGUUUUUAGUGGGCAGUAUUGGUGUUUGGUGGAUGGUUGAAGAAGAUGAUCUUAGAGGUCUUUUCCAACCUUAUUUAUUCUAUGAUUCUAUCAAAAUUUUCAAAAAACCCCAAUCCAACACACACUUUUAUUCUGUUUGAAUUUAAGGAAUUGUGUAAUGUAUUUUAAAAUACUUCUGUCUCAAUUUUCUUGACUGGUUCUAUAAAGCAAAUCUCUUAACAUAUAGUAUUUUGAAGAUGCUCAAUAGCUUAUGAAGCAGCAUGACUUAUUCCCAAUAGGUCUUACUCUCUUUCCAUUUUUCAGUGGAUGUAGAAGCUUGAGUAGCAAUCACUUCUUUCUUUUUUUCCUUCUUUUGCUUCCUUUUUCCUUUUUUUUUUUUUUAAUGUACAUUUUGCUUCAAACUUAUAUUAGUGAAAGACAGUCUGCAAAGUACCUCUUUGUACUUGGAGCAGAAAUAUCUCAAGUAAUGAGAUCAGCCAGCAUGGGUUCACGAAGGGCAGGUCCUGCUUGACCAACCUGAUCUCCUUCAAUGAUCUAGUGACCUGACUGGUGGAUGAGGGAAAGGCUGUUGAUGUGGUCUACCUAGACUUCAGCAAAGCCUUUGACACUGUCUCCCACCGUAUUCUCCUGCAGAAGCUGGCAGUCCGUGGCUUGGACAGAUACACUCUUGGCUGGGUAAGGAACUGGCUGGAGGGCCGGGCCCAGAGAGUGGUGGUGAAUGGAGUUAAAUCCAGCUGGCGACCGGUCACGAGUGGUGUUCCCCAGGGAUAGGUGCUGAGGCCUGUCCUGUUUAAUAUCUUUAUUGAUGACCUGGAUGAGGGUAUUGAGUGCACCCUCAGUAAGUUUGCAGAUGACACCAAGCUGGCUGGAAGUGUUGAUCUGCCUGAGGGUAGAAAGGCCCUACAGAGGGAUCUGGAUAGCUGGGCUGAAGCCAAUGGGAUGGGAUUCAACAAGACCAAAUGCCGGGUCCUGCACUUUGGCCGCAAUAACCCCAGGCAAUGCUACAGGCUUGGGGCAGAGUGGCUGGAAGACUGUGUAGAGGAAAUGGACCUGGGGGUGUUGAUUGAUGCUAGGCUGAACAUGAGCCAGCAGUGUGCCCAGGUGGCCAAGAAGGCCAAUGGCAUCCUGGCUUGUAUCAGAAAUAGUGUGACCAGCAGGAACAGGGAAGUAAUUAUCCCCCUGUACUCAGCACUGGUGAGGCCGCACCUCGAGUACUGUGUCCAGUUUUGGGCCCCUCACUGUAAGAAAGACAUCGAGGCCCUGGAGCGUGUCCAGAGGAGGUCAGCAAAGCUGGUGAGGGGUCUGGAGCACAGGCCUUAUGAGGAGUGGCUGAAGGAGCUGGGAUUGUUCAGUCUAGAGAAGAGGAGGCUCAGGGCAGACGUUAUUGCUCUCUAUAACUACCUGAAGGGAGGUUGUGGUGAGCUGGGGGUUAGCCUCUUCUCUUGGGUGACUGGUGAUUGGACUAGAGGGAAUGGCUUCAAGCUGCACCAGGGAAGGUUCAGGCUGGACGUUAGGAAUACUACUUCUCUGAAAGGGUGGUCAGGCACUGGAAUGGGCUGCCCAGAGAGGUGGUGGAGUCACCGAGCCUAGUGGUGUUCAAAGAGCGUUUGAAUGUUGUGUUGAGGGACAUGGUUUAGCGAAAACCAUUGGUGAAGGGCGAAUGGUUGGACUGGGUGAUCCUGUGGGUCUUUUCCAACCUUAGCGAUUCUGUGAUUCUAUGAUUCUAUGAAUGCAAUACACUGAAUGAAAAUGCAGAGAUGCAAGGGCAGUAAAUUGCCCUGAUUCCAAGUAUGUUUAAGAUAACAUUUUGUUUGGCUUCCAACAGCUCUGCUACAGAAGCUCACAAGCUAAGAAAGGCUGGACCUCACUGAUACUUGGAUGGAAUAUCUUCAUAUUUAUUUUAGGGAGUGGCACUAAUGACUUUGUAGCUGGCACUUUGAAUUGGUGUUACCUCAGAACUUAUUAUUUUGUUAGGGAUAAAAAAUUGCAAGAGAGAAAAAAGGCUGAAUUUUCAAAUACCAAUCCAGUCAUAAAUCCGGUGGCCUUCUAUGAUAGAGUGACAGCAUAGGUGGACAAAGGAAGAGCAACUGAUGUUUUCUAGCUGGACUUCUGCAAGGACUUCAUAAUGGUCCUGCACCAUUAUGCCCAGCCAGAGGCUGGUGAUGACUUCUUUUAUCUCUGGGAAUCUUUUCCUCUGCAAAGGGUGCUGGCCUUCCACAAAAUUCAAGUCUUAAAAGUUUACAGCUGCCUUUGUUUCCACAGAAUUCAAGCCAACUGAGAGUAAAGAGCUGUCCUAAUACCUCUUGCAGUCUGAGGGCGCUGCAGAGAACGUGCAUAGCCCCAGUAUAUGUGUGAGCAUUUGGCUUGCCAUUUCAUUUUGCUGAAACAUGUCAGGCUUACCAAAUGCUGUAUGAGGCCCAGGAGAUGUCUACUAAGACCUUCUGUCUUCCUGUAGACUCAUUUCUAGGGAAUAGUUUGAUGUGCACUGAUCUAAUACUUAUCAUCACAAUAUGUAUGCAUCUAUGAAUGUACAUACGUGGAUAUGUGUGUAUAAACAUACACACAUACGAACUCUUCUGUCAAGAAGAAAGUGGACAAAAUAUUAAUUACUGAAGCAAUUCUAUCACUAUAUUCAAUACUUAGUGCUUUAUUCACAAUGUUUUAUUUUCAUUUUUGCUCUCCUUUUAUAGAUGACAAUUUCAACAAAGGGAGGAAGAAAAAACAGAGCUCCAGUGUUGGCAAUGGAAAUAUCUCUCCGUUCUUUCUAAAUGUAAUUUGCUAAACCAGUCUUCACUCAUGCUGCUCUUUAAGGCAGUGAUACACUGGGAAGCAUUUCACAGUUUCUAUGCACAGGAGAGAUUCCUGGUCUCAGCUGUGUAAAUGUUUUAACUGAGAUUCAUGCUUGGCUAUUCAGGUCAUUGCUUUCUCUUCCAGCCCACACAAGCCAAAAUGCAUCAAUAUAAGCAUAAAGCAUCCAAAAUCAACACAGUAUUUUCACUUGAACGCACCUAUGGCACGUGGUUUGCUCAAAGUACAGGGUACUAGGCCAAGUGCUAGAUUUACACAUUUGCCUGAUAUGAACUUAGUAUGAUCUACAAAAUUCAUGCAACAGUCCUGUUUUGUGCCUUUUCAAAUCUGACUUGGCGAGAUUCCAAGGAAGGAAUCAAAGGAAUACAAACUCUUGGUUCAGACUUCAGAAUGGACUAAACUAAUGUAGGAAACCUUUAAAAAAUAUGAAGCUUAAUGUCUACUGUUACCGUACAUAUGCUUCUGACUUCAAGCAACCGACAACUUCUUCCCUGUGUUGAAUGGAAGAGCACAGGCACUCUUCCCUCUAUUAUUCUGUUUUAUUUUGUGUAAGAGUUUCAGUCACACAUGGAAACUCAAAAACAGAUUAAAGACUAAGGUGGAUUUGGUUUAGAAGGGCUCAGGUAGCUCUAGAGGCAGUCUUAAUACAGAAAUUUGCAGGGAUUUUGUUCCCACAUGCUUUUAUUCUGUCUGUAGUUCUUUGCAACCUCAAAUGGAAGACAGUGAAUCCCAAGGCACCUCCUGUGGUGCCAAGACUCUCCUUUUGUGACAUUUCUCUUGUUUUGUUUUUAAUCUAAAUUUCAGUGUAAUCAUGAAAACAGAACUUUCAUGCUAUUUUUUACUGAAUUUAAAAAGGAGGUCUUGAGGGUUUUUGUGGUCCAACCUUGAGGAACUCCUGCACCCAGUGACUAGGCCUUUUGCUGUUUAGUAUGUUCUCUGUGAGGUGAAAGAUGCCAUGUUCUCAGAAUCCCGGAACUACUUUUCAAUAGCUAAUUUACUGCCACAAACACUUGCUGCUUGAGACUGUAAGGUUGAUUGCUGGGCACCCAGAAAAGGGCUCCCAGACAAUUCUGCGAGACUACUGCAUGUAGUUGGUUUGGCUCUGGGAUUUCACAAGCUUUGGGUCACAGAUGCUUACGGGCAUACACAUGGUUGACUGCAGUACUAUAUCCAUACACUUGCCAUACGAGCAUACAGACCAAACAUCCCCCUGCACUUGUCAGUGAAAGCACAAGGCUUUUCUUAUUUCUUUGAGAAAUAAAACUAAGUAGUUCUGGCCUUGUAUAUAUUUAUUAGAUAUUAGAUAAAAAUAAUAAGUAGAUAUUAGAUAUAUUUACCACCUUAAGCCUAAAGUAAUACGAAUGCAGGAAAAAUAAUGUAGUUCUGCAGUUGAUCUUGCAAGACAGAAAAGCUUCAUUCUUCCCUAUCAAUUUGUCUUGCCUACAGCUAAGGAAUACUCUAAUCAUUAAGCUAUUUGGGAAGCUUUACGUUUUUUUUGUUUGUUUGUUUGUUUUGUUUUUGAAAUCUACAGCUGUCCUCUAUCUUUUAACUGCUUUCAAGCAACAUUAUUUCCACAGUUUGAGGCCAAAGCUGGCAACAGUUUUAGGACUUUCAAAACUUUUUUAACUUUGGUAAAUCAUUUUCACUGAGGAAAAAAAAAUAAAAAAAAAUCAAUUUCACUACUUUUGUUCAGGACAAAAUUGCUCUGGCCUCUAACUAUCCCAAACUGCAACUCAUUUGUGUGUCUCACUGUAAAAAAACAAUAUUGCAGGAGUAAAACCUCAUUUACUUAUGCUGAAAAAUACAUAAUGCAUCUCUUUCUCAAGGACAUGGUCACUUACUGUAUACUCUGCCAGAUGGAAAACUAAGCGUUCAUCGUAAAUACAUGUGCCACUGCUUCAGGACUCACUAAAGACAGGUGGUUGGUAUAGCAGGUCAAUUCAAAAGGUGGCCCACUGAACUGAAAAAUUAAAGCAACACAGAAGUAAAAGAGUAUUGUUUUUCCUCUCUAUAAAAUGAGUUCAAUUUUUUAUGCUGAUAUUUUAGGGAAAUUGUCAAAUUAUCUCAAUCUCUUCAAUUCAAAAUUACUGCAAAGUACUUGCAACAAGAUAUAUUAAUAUGGCCUUAAUGCUGGGAUGGUUUCAAAAUCAUAUGCCAGUGCAGAUUACCAGGUUGUGAAUGAAAUAAAUAUUAUGUUUCAACUCAAGGUUGAGAUACUGAAGGGGUAGCUUGCACUGGUGAAACUUGAUUCACUGUAGGGACACACACUGUAGUGCAUUCAAACUCCUAAUUACAUUUAGUUCCAUUUAACUUUAGUUUCUUAUUUUUUAAGCCUUGCAUAGGUACCAGUUGCCACCUUUACUCCAGAAAGCUGUGGUAACAGGAAUCUGCACAUUAGCCACAAGACAAGUUAGAACUAGAGUUAAGCACCUUCAGAAUUUCAGUUAGUUUAAAUGAAAGUGAUAAUAAGGGGUCUGGAGCGUAAGUCUUACGAGGAGUGACUGAGGAGUCUGGGAUUGUUUAGCCUGGAGAAGAGGUAGAGGGGAGGCUUCAUAUCUCUCUACAACUACCUGAAAACAAGUUGUAUUGAGGCAGGCAUCAGCAAUAGGACUAGAGGGAAUGGCCUCAAGUUGCACCAGGGGUGGUUCAGGUUGGAUAGUGGGGAAAAUUUGUUCUCUGAAAGCAUGAUCAAGUGCUGGAAUGGGCUGCCCAGGGGAGCUGAUUGAGUCACCAUCCCUGGAAGUGCUCAAGAAACAUUUAGAUGUUGUACUAAGGGGGAUGGUUUAGUGGGAAAUAUUGGUGAUAGGUGGACAGUUGGAUUGGAUGAUCUUAGAGGUCUUUUCCAACCUUGGUUAUUCUAUUAUUCUAUAAUUAUAUGAUACAUAAAGCAGAGCCCAGAUCAAAUGAACAGGAUCAUUUUCACAGAUCAGUUAAUAUCUGUGAAGAAGUGAAUAUGCACGCUGCCUGUGCAUCUGUAACUAGUUACAGAAAGGAUAGAAGAAGUGAAAGAAAAGCCAAUUGCUCAUUGAUGUACUUGUCUAGCACUAGGACUGAUUGGGGGAUUGUGUAGAAAUAAGCCACACUCUUUCCUAGUGUGGGCCCUAGAGUCAAAGAAACACUUAAUGGUAUUGCAACUGAAUCUCAGUACACUGUUUCAACCUGUCCGUCAAUGUUUUUCUGAGCUCAUUUGUUUGCCGUUCUGUGCCUGCUAUCCUUUCUCGCUUUUUGGCUUUAUCUGUGUUCACGCUUUUUUUCCCCAAAAGGUGUGCUGCAUGGAGUAUUAAUCUAUUGCUGUUUCCUCCCAGAUACCUCACUUUCCAUUGAAAAGAUAUUGAAACUCUAAUGUUAUUUCUAUAUGAUUGUAAGACUUCAUAAGGAAUUUUCUGGAGUAGAUAAGAAAUCAAAAUGUUCUCAGUUUUUAUCCAUAUCUUCUUAUAUUCUAGUCAAUCUAUGUAAUGCUGUCUUCUAACAAGUGAAAUAGAAAGCCAUGGUAUUAGCGUUUUCCUUAGAGUAGCAAACAAUGUUCAACAGAGAAUUCUGCCAUCCAUAAAAUUCGAAAUAAACCUAAGUUAGUGGCUUUUGUUGCCACUGCUCACACAGAACAUAUCUUAUUAACAUUUUGGUUUUAUAAGUUUAUUGUAUUAAGGGUAUAUUUUAUCAAUAUAUCCUUUGUGUAACGCAGAGAAGGAGAAGGGAAGAACAGAGAACCAGACAAACUGACGUAAGAAAAUGUUUAUACUAGGGAAAUUCCUGACUGUACUUGGGCUACCUGUUGAAGGUCAAGUCUGCCUGAAAUGAAAUAAAAAAUAUAAAAGUGCCAAUGGUACAAAUACCAGCAAGUAUCAAUGGAUUCCAAGGAUCUCUUUCUCCACCUGUCAUGGAUGUUCAGAGAAACCUGAUGUCUUUGUAGCCUCAGUGCACUGCUUUGGUUCACGUAUAAAAAAUUGCUGUGCCAAAUUGGAGUUAAUGAGGAUCCCACUUAAUUAUCCCUCUUAAUUAGUAAACUGCUGUAAAAUGCUGUAAUUAGCUGCUGGACUUUUCAUGUAUAUUAUCCAUUGUGCCCGAAGAUAAACCUUUAACUAUAUGACUAUGGCAAUCCUUCAGUGAUUCCAUUCAGAAGCAGAGUAUUGUGUUUGCCUCUGACUCCUUUAUGUUGUUAAAAUAUAAGAGAUUAAUUCUUGGGUGUUGAACUAACUUCCUCUUCUUAUCUUCUUGACAACUACUUGUAAUAUCU
rnacentral:lncRNA from 1 species